rnacentral:sRNA from 1 species
GCGUUUGUUUCAUGUCAACAUCAGGAGCAACAGGACAUUGGUUUUGAGGAGGUAGAAAUCCAGGUGGUGGUUGCUGCUGGUAGUUCCCCUGAAAUUGCUGUUUGAGAACAAAAACUUGAUUGUAAGGAACAAAAGGUUUGUUUUGACCUUGUUGUUGCUGUGGAGGAUAGACUUGGUCUUGUGGAUUAGCAACGUUGGUGUUGCGGUAGGAGAGGUUGGGGUUGUUGGUUUUGAAGUUGUUGUACCCUUUUUAGCCACUCUGGUUGUUGUUGAUGUAGCUGACUUCUUCCAACUGGUUACCCUCCCCAUCAUGGAAUUGAUACUGCUCGUCAUCAACAAGGAAAUGCACAUGCUUCUGCUGGCUAAGAAGAAUCCUGUCCAGCUUGUCAUUCAGCGCUUUGAUCUCCUUCCUGUGUUUGUCAUCAGAGUCAGGUGUGCUUCUGACGGUCCUAUCACAGUCCUCGUUGUAAUUACCAUCUGAUUGAGCUAAGUUCUCAACCAAUUCCCAGCCUUCUUCAACAUCUUUGUUCUGGAAAUUCCCAUCUUUGACCAGAAGCAUUCUAAUGCGUGAUAGAACUCCUCUGUAAAGAGUGCUGAGAAGAGAGGCUUUAGUGAAGCCAUGAUGAGGGCAUUGGUUGGUAUAACCCUUGAAACGCUUCCAUGCUUCACAGAAGCUUUCACGAGUCUUCUGUGAAAAACCAGAAAUCUCAUUUCUGAGUCUUGAAGUUCUGGAGUUGAAGAAAAACUUU